rnacentral:rRNA from 1 species
GUAAGCUUGCUUAUGGUAUAACUUAGUGGCAGACGGGUGAGUAAUGUAUAGGAAUCUACCUAGUAGUACGGGACAAUUGCUGGAAACGGCAACUAAUACCGUAUACGCCCUACGGGGGAAAGAUUUAUUGCUAUUAGAUGAGCCUAUAUUAGAUUAGCUAGUUGGUGGGGUAAUGGCCUACCAAGGUAGUGAUCUAUAGCUGAUCUGAGAGGAUGAUCAGCCACACUGGAACUGAGACACGGUCCAG